rnacentral:rRNA from 1 species
AAAGGGUGCGUAGGCGGCCUAUUAAGUCAGGGGUGAAAGACGGUAGCUCAACUAUCGCAGUGCCUUUGAUACUGAUGGGCUUGAAUGCAGCUGAGGUAGGCGGAAUGUGACAAGUAGCGGUGAAAUGCAUAGAUAUGUCACAGAACACCGAUUGCGAAGGCAGCUUACUAAAGUGUGAUUGACGCUGAGGCACGAAAGCGUGGGGAUCAAACAGGAUUAGAUACCCGGGU